rnacentral:rRNA from 1 species
UACGAAGGGUGCAAACGUUGCUCGGAAUUAUUGGGCGUAAAGCGCACGUAGGCGGCAUUGCAAGUCGGAUGUGAAAUCUUAUGGCUUAACCAUAAAAGUGCAUCCGAAACUGCAGUGCUUGAGUACUUAAGAGGAUCGCGGAAUUCCCGGUGUAGAGGUGAAAUUCGUAGAUAUCGGGAGGAACACCAGUGGCGAAGGCGGCGAUCUGGGUCGAUACUGACGCUGAGGUGCGAAAGCGUGGGGAGCAAACAGGG